ensembl:piRNA 21ur-10325 ncRNA
UGUUCUGAUAGGUAACGUGUA